GAUGAACGCUAGCGACAGGCCUAACACAUGCAAGUCGAGGGGUAGGGUAGCAAUCCCCGAGACCGGCGCACGGGUGCGUAACGCGUAUGUAACCUGCCUUACACAGGGGGAUAGCCUUCCGAAAGGGAGAUUAAUACCCCAUAACAUUAUCUUCCCGCAUGGGGAGUUACUUAAAGCUACGGUGGUGUAAGAGGGCAAUGCGUGUGAUUAGCUAGUUGGUGUGGUAACGGUCGACCAGGGCGACGGUCAUCAGGGGUUCUGAGAGGAAGAUCCUCCACACUGGUGCUGAGACACGGACCAGACUCCUACGGGAGGCAGAAGUGAGGAAGAUUGGUCAAGGGGCGCGAGCCUGAACCAGCCAUGUCGCGUUCAGGACGACUGCCCUAUGGGUUGUAAACUGCUUUUGUAUGGGAAGAAACGACGGUACGCGUACUGUUUUGCCGGUACCAUACGAAUAAGGAUCGGCUAACUCCGUGCCAGCCGCCGCAGUAACAC
rnacentral:rRNA from 1 species